GGAGCACCCCAGCUGGCCAGGUGGCUUUGCAUGGGGCUGCAGAGAAUGCUGCCAGCUGCCAGACUUCUCUUAAGUGCAAAGGUUCUGUUCAUUUCCUCCACCGGUGCAAUCACUAUCAAGAAUUCGGUGUAUGCCCAGUUCAUCUUUAAAGGUCUUUAAAAGGAGAUGGCCUCCAACACCAAAGUCACAGUGUUAAAGAUCCAAGAUGAUCCCAUUGGUGGCACAAGUUCCUGACUAUGACUUCCUGAAGAAGGAUGAUCAGAGCCUGAAGAAGGUGUAUCAGGAGGCUGAGUGAAUUAUUUGUCAAGAAAUAUGUUAUCUGUGUAGAUCACAGAGUUGUCUGGAUGUAAACAUUAAAACACGUGAGUUGUACAUAUGAAAUAUAUACAUAUAUUUAUGCACACAUAUUAUUUAUAC
rnacentral:lncRNA from 1 species